AAAGCAGCAAUGCGCUUGGGGAUGGGCUCGCGUCCUAUUAGUUAGUUGGUGAGGUAACGGCUCACCAAGGCGAUGACGGGUAGCCGGUCUGAGAGGAUGUCCGGCCACACUGGAACUGAGACACGGCCCAGACUCCUACGGGAGGCAGCAGUAGGGAAUCUUCGGCAAUGGGGGCAACCCUGACCGAGCAACGCCGCGUGAGUGAAGAAGGUUUUCGGAUCGUAAAGCUCUGUUGUAAGAGAAGAAGAGUGUGAGAGGGAAAGUUCACACUGUGACGGUAACUUACCAGAAAGGGACGGCUAACUACGUGCCAGCAGCCGCGGUAAUACGUAGGUCCCGAGCGUUAUCCGGAUUUAUUGGGCGUAAAGCGAGCGCAGGCGGUUAGAUAAGUCUGAAGUUAAAGGCUGUGGCUUAACCAUAGUACGCUUUGGAAACUGUUUAACUUGAGUGCAGAAGGGGAGAGUGGAAUUCCAUGUGUAGCGGUGAAAUGCGUAGAUAUAUGGAGGAACACCGGUGGCGAAAGCGGCUCUCUGGUCUGUAACUGACGCUGAGGCUCGAAAGCGUGAGGAGCAAACAGGAUUAGAUACCCUGGUAGUCCACGCCGUAAACGAUGAGUGCUAGGUG
rnacentral:rRNA from 1 species